rnacentral:rRNA from 1 species
CGGGGUGAGUAACGCGUGAGGAACCUGCCUUGAAGAGGGGGACAACAGUUGGAAACGACUGCUAAUACCGCAUGACGCAUAGAGGUCGCAUGAUCUUUAUGCCAAAGAUUUAUCGCUUCAAGAUGGCCUCGCGUCUGAUUAGCUAGUUGGCGGGGUAACGGCCCACCAAAGCGACGAUGGAUAGGGGUUCUGAGAGGAAGGUCCCCCACAUUGGAACUGAGGCACGGUCCAA